rnacentral:lncRNA from 1 species
UCAUAUGAAUGAAUUGUUAGUAUUGUACUACAAUAGUCUCAAGGUUGGAGCAAAGUUUGUAUAAAGUAUACAAACGAAAUAUAUGUCGUAUAUAGUUUUAGAAACUACUUCAAAAGGUGUUUUGAAUGGAAGGGGUUCUUAUAGAACCAAUGAUUGAAUCCAAACCAUAAGGUCGUUAGUAGGAUACUACGACGUAAUGGGGCGAUAGCUCAAGCCAUGGAAUCAAGGUCUCAUCAAAGUAUUCGAACACAAUAAAGAGACAUCAUCAAAUGUUUUGGAAACAUUUGAUAAGUAAAUCCCUUUUGAAUAAUAAAAGGGAUUAAUACAUAACCAAGUUAACCUACGAGCAUAAACUCUCUCAAAAAGAUGUAUAAGAUACACUAGUGAUUGACUUUAGUGCAAGUGGGAGAUUGUUGGAAAUAUGCCCUGAAAGUCAAUCUUUGGAAGAAACCUUUCAGGACAAUUGAAUCGAUGUAUGGAUGACUCUUAUACAUCAAAUGGAAAAGAUACUAAUUAGGACUAUCUCAAUAAACGAUAUAUGUC